GACGAACGCUGGCGGCGUGCUUAACACAUGCAAGUCGAACGGUAAGGCCCUUCGGGGUACACGAGUGGCGAACGGGUGAGUAACACGUGGGUGAUCUGCCCUGCACUUCGGGAUAAGCCUGGGAAACGGGGUCUAAUACCGGAUAGGACUCCUGGCUUCAUGGUUGGGGGUGGAAAGCUUUUGCGGUGUGGGAUGGGCCCGCGGCCUAUCAGCUUGUUGGUGGGGUAAUGGCCUACCAAGGCGACGACGGGUAGCCGGCCUGAGAGGGUGACCGGUCACACUGGGACUGAGAGACGGCCCAGACUCCUACGGGAGGCAGCAGUGGGGAAGAUUGCACAAUGGGCGCAAGCCUGAUGCAGCGACGCCGCGUGAGGGAUGACGGCCUUCGGGUUGUAACCCGCUUUCAGCUAUGACGAAGCGCAAGUGACGGUAGUAGCAGAAGAAGGACCGGCCAACUACGUGCCAGCCGCCGCCGUAA
rnacentral:rRNA from 1 species